rnacentral:rRNA from 1 species
UACAGAGGGCGCGAGCGUUGUCCGGAAUCACUGGGCGUAAAGGGCGCGUAGGUGGCCACCAUAAGGCCGCGGUGAAAGUUCGGGGCUCAACCCCGGAUCGGCCGCGGCGACUGUGGGGCUCGGGUACUGGAGAGGAGACUGGAAUUCAUGGUGUAGCAGUGAAAUGCGUAGAGAUCAUGAGGAAGACCAGUGGCGAAGGCGGGUCUCUGGACAGUUCCUGACACUGAGACACGGAAGGCCAGGGGGAGCAAACGGG